ACCCAUAUAUUCCAAUGGGCAGGAUAUCUGGCUUUCAUCCGGAAGAUCUGGGUUCGAUUCCCAGUAUGGGUU